ACGCUCGACACCUACGGGGGCAGCAGUGGGGAAUAUUGCACAAUGGGGGAAACCCUGAUGCAGCGACGCCGCGUGAAGGAAGAAGUAUCUCGGUAUGUAAACUUCUAUCAGCAGGGAAGAAAGUGACGGUACCUGACUAAGAAGCCCCGGCUAACUACGUGCCAGCAGCCGCGGUAAUCUGAGGCGGGCUGGCGAAGGC
rnacentral:rRNA from 1 species